rnacentral:rRNA from 1 species
AUGAACGCUGGCGGCGUGCCUAAUACCUGCCAGUCGAGCGAACGGACGAGAAGCUUGCUUCUCUGAUGUUAGCGGCGGACGGGAGAGUAACACGUGGAUAACCUACCUAUAAGACUGGGAUAACUUCGGGAAACCGGAGCUAAUACCGGAUGAUAUUUUGAACCGCAUGGUUCAAAAGUGAAAGACGGUCUUGCUGUCACUUAUAGAUGGAUCCGCGCUGCAUUAGCUAGUUGGUAAGGUAACGGCUUACCAAGGGAACGAUGCAUAGCCGACCUGAGAGGGUGAUCGGCCACACUGGAACUGAGACACGGUCCAGACUCCUACGGGAGGCAGCAGUAGGGAAUCUUCCGCAAUGGGCGAAAGCCUGACGGAGCAACGCCGCGUGAGUGAUGAAGGUCUUCGGAUCGUAAAACUCUGUUAUUAGGGAAGAACAUAUGUGUAAGUAACUGUGCACAUCUUGACGGUACCUAAUCAGAAAGCCACGGCUAACUACGUG